GCAGGAGGGGCAUGCAGGAUGCCUGGGUCCUUCCCACCACAUUUCUGGGUUAGGGAGCAAGGCCAGCGGUGGGCUGUCAGGCCUCCUGUGCUUUCGCAACAGGGAAUGGUGCAACCGUCUUGGAUUAAGUAGGCUGCUGCCGUUGCUCCUUCUUACCGGGACCUCCGGCCAGGUUCCUCUCAAGGCUGCCAUCUACUGCUGGAAGUGGGCAUUGCAGCUGCCAGGGAACUAUGGGACUGUGUAGUGGAACACAAUGACGGUGGCUUCUAACAGAAAAUUCUC